rnacentral:rRNA from 1 species
UGACGCUGGCGGCACGCCUUACACAUGCAAGUCGAGCGGUCAAAAUGAGGGAGCUUGCUCCCGAAAGAUGAGCGGCGGACGGGUGAGUAAUGCGCGGGAACGCGCCCUUUGGAGGGGGACAACCUUGGGAAACCAGGGCUAAUACCGCAUAACCUCCACGGAGCAAAGCGGGGGAUUUCUUCGGAAACCUCGCACCAAAGGAGCGGCCCGCGUCCGAUUAGUUUGACGGCGGGGUAACAGCCCACCGUGACUACCAUCGGUAGCUGGUCUGAGAGGAUGAUCAGCCACACCGGGACUGAGACACGGCCCGGACUCCUACGGGAGGCAGCAGUGGGGAAUAUUGGACAAUGGGGGAAACCCUGAUCCAGCGAUGCCGCGUGUGUGAAGAAGGCCUUCGGGUUGUAAAGCACUUUCGCAGGGGAAGAAACGGUGCGCUCUAACAUAGCGUACAACUGACGGUACCCUGAAAAGAAGCGCCGGCUAACUCCGUGCCAGCAGCCGCGGUAAU